UGAGGAAUUUUCCGCAAUGGGCGAAAGCCUGACGGAGCAAUACCGCGUGAGGGAUGAAGGAUUUUGGUCUGUAAACCUCUUUUUUCAAGAAAGAAGUUCUGACGGUACUUGAAGAAUAAGCAUCGGCUAACUCCGUGCCAGCAGCCGCGGUAAUACGGGGGAUGCAAGCGUUAUCCGGAAUCAUUGGGCGUAAAGCGCCUGUAGGUUGUUUAGUAAGUUCGUUGUUAAAGACUAGGGCUUAACCCUAGGAAAGCGAUGAAAACUACUAGACUUGAGUAUGGUAGGGGUAGAGGGAAUUUCUAGUGUAGUGGUGAAAUGCGUAGAUAUUAGAAAGAACACCGGUGGCGAAAGCGCUCUACUGGACCAUUACUGACACUGAGAGGCGAAAGCUAGGGGAGCAAAAGGGAUUAGAUACCCCUGUAGUCCUAGCCGUAAACGAUGGGUACUAGGUGUUGUGUUUUAUAUACAGUACCGUAGCUAACGCGUUAAGUACCCCGCCUGGGGAGUACGCUCGCAAGGGUGAAACUCAAAGGAAUUGACGGGGGCCCGCACAAGCGGUGGAGCAUGUGGUUUAAUUCGAUGCAACGCGAAGAACCUUACCAGAACUUGACAUACUACAAAUCUUCUGGAGACAGAAGAGUGCCUUCGGGAAUGUAGAUACAGGUGGUGCAUGGCUGUCGUCAGCUCGUGUCGUGAGAUGUUGGGUUAAGUCCCG
rnacentral:rRNA from 1 species